rnacentral:tRNA from 1 species
GCACGGGUACUCAAGCGGUCGACGAGGCGUGGUUCAGGGCCACGUGGCUUAGUGCCUUCGGCGGUUCAAAUCCGCCCCCGUGCA